GGCCCUUUCCAGGUGCCCGGGGUCAGGGGCACAGAGCCCCCUGCGGAGAGCUCUCGCUUUCGCUUUUGCUGUGUUCCUUGGGGACCCCGGGUGUGGCAGACAGAAGCAUGGCGAGCGAGCGGUGGCGGCUUCCAGACUGAAGUGAUUCUAUUUUUUCACUUUUUUUUUAGUCCUAGAAAUUGAAACUUGUGAUCCUCUUGCCUCAGCCUCCCAGAGUGCUGAGACUGUGUGCCACCACCCCUGGCUUCUCAUGCACUUUAAAUUAAAAUAAAUUUUUAUCCUGCAGUUGUCCUGACUCUUGGUAUAGGAGAAGCUGUCGCAGUGCCAAGAAGGGGGUGCCGCGCCAGGACGUGUGGCACCCGGUCUGGCCCUGGGGACGCGAGCUAGACUGUUGCCUCUUCUGGGAAGCCUACUGGAUUGCAUGCAAGCUGUGGGGGAACGGAGACAUAGCCCACACCAGCAAUAAGACGCCGGACGAAACUUCUUAAAGAAGCGCCCCUUCCCCAGCGCAGGGCCGCCCUCGCCUCACCUGCGCCUGUCAGCAGGUGCAGCAUGAGGUCAAGGUCCCUUCGUGGUUACCGUGCUGUGACUCACGGGGCAGCCUGAGGGUCACCAAAGAUGACAUCGGGUCAGUCCAGGAAGGUGGCCCAAUGCAGCGUUAAUACCAGGAGCAGGUGACAGGGCUGACGGAGAGGUAGCACCGUGAGGCCACGUGUCACAUCUGCCCAGAAGAGGCCUUCGAAGGGAGCGGAGCCCGGGCGGGGCUGCCCGAGGAGCAGAGGCCGCCACGCUGGAAGCCGAGGGAACCCGACCGGGGCACCAAGCUGGGCGACAAAGGUUGAAGCCUUUCUAAAGACGUCGUUUUUCAGAAGAAAGUAAUCAAGGCGGCAGGAAGGAGAACGCAGCCUCGAGGUCACCUUCUGGUUCUGGUCCCCAUCAGUGCUGGGGCCUUGCCCUCAAGCUCAGGCAGAGGCUGGGGGUCUCCACGGUCCUAGCACUGGGGAGCUGGUGGGGGGGCCCUCAUUUUGGAGUCCGAUUUUGGCUUGGGGUGGCGGGCAGCUCCCGAGGGCUGGGAUUUCAGCUGCAGGGCGGCUCCUGUUUCUUCAGACCCAUGGGGAGGCCGGGAGACGGCUGUCACUACAGGAACUGCAGCGGCGCCCUUUCCAGGAGGGGUGCUGGGGCCCACGGGAAGCACACGUGCAACGCCUGCCACAUCAAAGUCCGUGUGCCAGCCUGGGUCCGUCCCUGCUGCAGGGAGCUCACCCUGACCAUGGGGCUGCGGUGACGGCAGCUGGGCAGGGACCCCUCUCCCGGGUCUGUUGCCCCUUGAGUUCCAGGUCGGCUCUGCAGAUACUGUCCCUGGGCGAUGACUCGGACGGGGAAAAGCCUGGCUUCUGGCGGCCCUGCACCCACCGUUGGAUGGCGCUGCCUGGGCGCAUGAGGACCGGGAGAGCACCGUGGCGCCACGUGAGCCCCGCCAGGACACCCGCACCCGGCGUCAGGGCUUCUCAGGCGAGGGCAGAGACCGCAGGGAAGGACAGAGCCGAGGACCGGAGCAGCGCCCCGGAGUGCAGCGAUAUCGGGCAGGCGGGUCUUUAAGGGGCGAAGGAGGUAAAGUGAGCCCCCAGGGCGGCCCUAGCCCCAUCUAGCCUUGCAAGAAGAGAUCGAGGCAGGACACACGGGGCGGCCAGGUGAGGACCCAGGGGAGGCCACCGCCCAGGAGCCCAGGAGCGAGGGGGCCGGGGGAGCCCGGCGGGCGGCCGGCUUUGGUCCUGGACAUCCAGCCUCCGCGAUCGGAGGGAGUGAGCGCUGGGGGCUAAGCCCGAGGAGAGGAGUGCACAGACUCACACACACACAGCUCACGCUCACGCCUGCACACACAGUCGCCGGUGCAUGCUCACGUGUUCAGACACAGGCACGCUCACACAUGCUUGUUCACACAGUCGCAAAUGCACACUCACGGGCGCAGGCACAUACACACAUGUGCACUCACACACGAUGCGUGUCUGCUCACACGUGUCCACGCUCACACACACACGCACACACACACCGGGGAACACAGGAGACUGAGAACCAGUGGGCGAGAACAGCUACCGUGCGAGACGGCUCGGGUGGCCGCAGGGUCCGCAGGGUGAGGUUCCUGACUCCCGCUCAGAUCUCCGACGCCGUACUUCAACGCGAGCGGCCGUGAGCGAGGGUCCCACCUCCCUGCAUCUGCGAACGGGAGGACGCUGACCUGUUGCUGUUGAAGAGGCCCUGGGCAUCAAUACUUGCAAAGAGCUCAAGCUAUUCCUGGAAAACAGCAUGGCAGUUGCGGUUCUGCCCCUCGCUGGAGGAGCCUGGGGACGUAAGACAGCCGCAGCUUCCUGGAGGGUGCAGAGCCGCGACCCCACCGCCGCUCUGGAGCAGAGAGCUCAGCCCGCCACUCUCCUGGACGCCACGGCAGACCCCAAGACAUUCACCUUGUGGGUUGUGUGGCCCUGCAACUCCCCACCUAGGAAUUAGCAGUCAGAAAUGUAUUAGAAACUAACAUUGAGAAUGUUUAGAAUUAUUUAUUAAUUCACUUAAAAUUAGCAAGAACAAACCUUAUAGAGAUAACAUAAAUAUUUUGUGACAGUUACGUUUUCCAAAACAAAAAUAAACUUCACUGAGGAAAGU
ensembl:lincRNA